rnacentral:tRNA from 1 species
GCCCGUUUAGCAUAGUCGUUAUUGCGCGGCACUUGUACUGCGAGGUCCAUGCCGAGGUCGCUAGUUCAAAUCUGGCAACGGGCA